UAGUUAAACUUUAACUAAUUAUUGCUGUUAUUAUUGAUUAGAAAUUACUAUAACUGUUAAGGCUGUUAACUGCAAAAAAAACGGGACAAAACGAAAACCGUUGGGACGCUGGGACAAAUGGCAUAAAACCGGGACGUAUGAGUUAUACAAGAAGAUAUUAGAAUUUUGAUCAAUUUGUGUUACAUUAAUAUGUUUAAUGAAAAUGCCAACAUUAAAAUGGAUGAUAGGCUAGAUGAUGUUAUACAUUUGCAAAAUGAUGUAAAUACUGUAAGGCGUGUUGAAAAUAUUUGUUGCCGAAAUGAAAGAAAUAGACUUAGGCAAGAUGAAAUUAAUUAUCUAUGAAAUGUAAGAAGAGCUGGUAUAGGAGCAGAAGAUAAUUUGAACCCAAAUGUGGAAAUGGUGGUUAGACAAGUUAAAAAUAAUUGUUGCCAAUAUGCUAAAGAUAGAGCUAGGCAAGAUGAAAUUAAUCAACAACAAUAUGUUAGAAAUGCUGCUAGACACAAAAAAAUGCAUUGUAUAGCAUAAAGUAAAAUUACUCCAGAUUAUCAUUAUUUAGGAGAAAUGAGUUAUAUUUGUCAGCAUUGUGGUGCCAAGGAAUUUCCUGAUGAAAUACAUUUUUUUUGUUGGCAUUAUGGAAAAGUAGUUUUGUCGCAACCUUUGCCAUUUCUGCAA